ACAAAUGCCAUGAUGCAAAUAAGGGUCUAUAAAGGAAGUGAAACAGGGUUUUUAAAUAAUAAACAAAUGUGAUUUGAAUAACAGAUAAGGGCAGAUAUAGAAUAAUCACAGCCUGAAGCUGCAGACAGAAACAGACUGAAGACAGAAACACACCAGCUCUGAGAAAUGGCCCAGACUCUAUAUUUCCCUCUUCUCCUCAUUAGUGAGUGUGUUUGUAGUUUUAUUUAUGGUUUAUAGUUUCAUUAGGUUUGACUGUUCUGAAAAGCAUUUAAGCAAAGUGUCUCUCUCACAGCUCUCUGCUCCAUAUCUGAAUGUGUUCAGCGUCAGUAUCACUUUAUAAAUGA